rnacentral:rRNA from 1 species
GACGAACGCUGGCGGCGUGCUUAACACAUGCAAGUCGAACGGAAAGGCCCUGCUUUUGUGGGGUGCUCGAGUGGCGAACGGGUGAGUAACACGUGAGUAACCUGCCCUUGACUUUGGGAUAACUUCAGGAAACUGGGGCUAAUACCGGAUAGGAGCUCCUGCUGCAUGGUGGGGGUUGGAAAGUUUCGGCGGUUGGGGAUGGACUCGCGGCUUAUCAGCUUGAUGGUGGGGUAGUGGCUUACCAAGGCUUUGACGGGUAGCCGGCCUGAGAGGGUGACCGGCGACAAUAGGACUAAGAGAGGGAGCAGAAGCGUACGGGAGGCAGAGGUGGGGAGUAUUGCAGAAUGGGGGGAAGCGUGAUGAAGCAGCGCCGGGUGCGGGAUGACGGCCUUCGGGUUGUAAACCGCUGUCGACGGUGCCGAAGCGUGAGUGACGGUAAUGGGUAAAGAAGCACCGGCUAACUACGUG